GUGUCCGCUGUGCCAAUUUCUUGGUUGGUGGUUGACAAGUGGAGUUGCCUGUGGCCAAAAGAUUUCGCCGGAUCCCGCCUCCUGGAUGCAAUUAGGGACAAGAUUGAUCCUGGCGCAAACUGGAAUCGAUACCCGGUUAGGGUACUGACACGAUGCAAAACCUACAAGAAGGCCCUCAAGAAAUCUCGGCUAGCCGAAGAAACAUCAACACUUGAAACGUCGGAGUUUUCAGCCCCGGAGGCCGAAACUCCUGAGGAUGUCUUCACAACCUAUGACGAUGCGCCAUCGCACCGUCUGGCCUUGCCCUCUCCACGUAAGUUGAAUAAAUAUUGGUAAUGUAGGCA
rnacentral:lncRNA from 1 species